GACCCAUUAGCUCAGUUGGUAGAGCAUUCGCCUUUUAAGCGAAGAGCCCGGAGUUCAAGUCUCCGAUGGGUCACCA
rnacentral:tRNA from 1 species